rnacentral:rRNA from 1 species
UACGUAGGCAGCGAGCGUUGUUCGGAAUUACUGGGCGUAAAGAGUGUGUAGGCGGUGCUCUAAGUUCGGUGUGAAAUCUCCUGGCUCAACUGGGAGGGUGCGCCGGAAACUGGAGUGCUUGAGCGUGGGAGAGGAAAGCGGAAUUCCCGGUGUAGCGGUGAAAUGCGUAGAUAUCAGGAGGAACACCUGUGGUGUAGACGGCUUUCUGGACCAUAGCUGACGCUGAGACACGAAAGCGUGGGUAGCAAACAGG